rnacentral:rRNA from 1 species
AUUGAACGCUAGCGGCAGGCCUUACACAUGCAAGUCGAACGAGUGGCGGACGGGUGAGUAAUGUAUGGGAAACUGCCCGAUGGAGGAGUAUAACUACUGGAAACGGUAGCUAAUACCGCCCACCAUGGGAUGUACCCGGAUGGGCUUCGCUUGGUGGUGGGGUAACGGCUCACCAAGGCGACGAUCCCUAGCUGGUUUGAGAGGAUGACCAGCCACACUGGAACUGAGACACGGUCCAGACUCCUACGGGAGGCAGCAGUGGGGAAUUUUGCACAAUGGGCGCAAGCCUGAUCCAGCCAUGCCGCGUGUAUGAUGAAGGCCUUCGGGUUGUAAAGUACUUUCAGCAGGGAGGCGGUACCCGCAGAAUAAGCACCGGCUAACUCCGUGCCAGCCGCCGCGGUAAUUC